AAGGCUAUACUUUCAGGGAUCAUUUCUAUAGUAUGUUACCAGAGAAGUUUCUCUGAUUGUGUAGAGUACCAGAAACCACGAGGAGGAGGCGUAGUAUUCCUUCCUGAGUGUGAAGCCAGCUCUUGGUGUUGCUUUGGUGAACUGCCACUUGCCAUUGAUGAUCGUUCUUGCUUUCUCCUUGUGGGAAGCAAGAGGGAAGGAACGCAGUCUGAGUGGCU
ensembl:snoRNA